AUCUUUAGGCCCGACAACCCAUGCUUUGCCUGUCCGCAGAGUUAUUUUGAGGGAAGCUUCCUUGGGGAUGAUUAUCUGAGUUGAAAAUGAAAAUAUACAUGGGGGCAAGGAUCUCCUCUCAACUUUGGAAGAACUAAGCAUGCCACUGUAUUUCAGGCACCCCCAGAGUAGGGUGAACUGAAAAGCCAACCAGGAAGAAAGCAGAGAAGGCAUGUUGCUCUAAAAGGAAGAUUGAAAACGUCCUAGGGUGGGAGUUGGGGCUGGGUAGUUUUAGUUUUGAUGGGGGCAGAGCUUGGCCUGAGGUGGGCCAAGAGCUGGGACCGGAACAGGGACAGGAAAGGGGUUGUUGCGGUUCCACGGCCCAGCGGGGGAUUCCACACACGCCCCACCGAAGGGGCCAUCUGACCAAGCCUGACCAAGCCGAAUGCCAAGGGGUAAAGACUCCAUUAACAUCCAGUAACGAGGGGAACACCAGAGGAGUGCCGAGAAAGUUCCUGUGCAGAGCGAUGGAAGACCAUGAACUGCCAACAGGAGUUGGGAAAGAGGUGGAGGCCUCUUGGGUGAAGGCAUCCUGGCAGGCAGGCAAGUCCCAACAGGCUGACGAGGGCUGCAGCAUGCAGACAAACGGUCCUGGAUUUGGGAGUCAAGAAUAUUGCAGCCCAGCUUUAGUUCUGGCAAGGAUGCCAUACACCGUGAGGCUGUGUGAGCCCCUAAAUCCCUCUGUACCUCGUUUUCCUCUCAGCAUCACCACCCCAUAUUUGCCACCAAAAAGGACCCAGGAGUCUGAUGCCUUCAUGAGGCAUUAUCUUCAUGUUCCAGUCUCUCACUGUUCUGGCUGCCCACCCCUUGGGAAGGGUGCUGGGUCGGGGCUGGGAGCGGGGGCUGAUCCCCUGGCUGCAGUGGGAGUCUCGCUUUUCCAGCCCUCAUCCUCAACAGCUGCCUCUGCCAAGGCCCUGGAGCUAGAAAAAGCAAGGCCAUUGCC